rnacentral:SRP_RNA from 1 species
GCCAGGCGUGGUGGCGCGUGCCUGUAGUCCCAGCUACACAGGAGGCUGAGGCAGGAGAAUCGCUUGAACCCGGGAGGUGGAGGUUGCAGUGAGCUGAGAUCGCACCACUACACUCCAGCCUGGGCAACAGAGUGAGACUCUGCCUCAA